rnacentral:rRNA from 1 species
GAUGAACGCUGGCGGCGUGCUUAACACAUGCAAGUCGAACGGAAAGGCUCCUGCUUGCAGGGGUACUCGAGUGGCGAACGGGUGAGUAACACGUGGGUGAUCUGCCCUGCACUUCGGGAUAAGCCUGGGAAACUGGGUCUAAUACCGGAUAGGACGAUGGUUUGGAUGCCAUUGUGGAAAGUUUUUCGGUUUGGGAUGAGCUCGCGGCCUAUCAGCUUGUUGGUGGGGUAAUGGCCUACCAAGGCGUCGACGGGUAGCCGGCCUGAGAGGGUGUACGGCCACAUUGGGACUGAGAUACGGCCCAGACUCGUACGGGAGGCAGCAGUGGGGAAUAUUGCACAAUGGGCGCAAGACUGAUGCAGAGACGCCGCGUGGGGGAUGACGGCCUUCGGGUUGUAAACUCCUUUCGCUAGGGACGAAGCGCAAGUGACGGUACCUGGAGAAGAAGCACCGGCUAACUACGUG